UACGGAGGGUGCGAGCGUUGUCCGGAAUCACUGGGCGUAAAGGGUGCGUAGGCGGGUCUUUAAGUCAGGGGUGAAAUCCUGGAGCUCAACUCCAGAACUGCCUUUGAUACUGAGGAUCUUGAGUACGGGAGAGGUGAGUGGAACUGCGAGUGUAGAGGUGAAAUUCGUAGAUAUUCGCAAGAACACCAGUGGCGAAGGCGGACUCACUGGCCCGUUACUGACGCUGAGGCACGAAAGCGUGGGGAGCAAACAGG
rnacentral:rRNA from 1 species